rnacentral:lncRNA from 1 species
UAUAAGUAUAGUUGUCUUGGACAAUUCAAAAAUUUUAGAAUUUGGCAAUAUGAUGAUGCAAACCGUAUUUUAUCACUAAAUACCCUUAGCAGCAAAUAAAAGAAGACCAAGUAUAUAGCCAAAUUCAACUCUGCCUUGAGAUCUGAUUUCAAAUGGUGCAGAUCCUGUACCAAGGGCCAAGACCAUGCUUACCACACUUCAUGCAAAGCUGACUAUGGUGGCCCUACUGACUUGACCAAACUUAUGGAGACCAGCAAGCCUACAAGUUGUAGUACAAAUCUAUCAAUUUAACACCUUCUGUUACAAGCAUGUUCUUAUUCAGUAGUGGUACCAAAGUUGACAAUGUAGCUUAACCAGAGGUACUUUUUGCCAACUAUGUCUAUGUAUGAUUGCUGAUCACUUUAUCUUGAACUAUACAUAAUGAAUAAAUAUUAGAAACCCCC